ACUCCUACGGGAGGCAGCAGUGGGGAAUAUUGCACAAUGGGCGCAAGCCUGAUGCAGCGACGCCGCGUGAGGGAUGACGGCCUUCGGGUUGUAAACCUCUUUCAGCACGGAAGAAGCGAAAGUGACGGUACGUGCAGAAGAAGCGCCUGGCNAACUUACGUGCCAGCAGCCGCGGUAAUACGUAGGGCGCAAGCGUUUGUCCGGAAUUUAUUGGGGCGUAAAGAGCUCGUAGGCGGUUUGUCGCGUCUGCUGUGAAAGCCCGGGGCUUAACCCCGGGUGUGCAGUGGGUACGGGCAGACUUGAGUGCAGUAGGGGAGACUGGAACUCCUGGUGUAGCGGUGAAAUGCGCAGAUAUCAGGAAGAACACCGAUGGCGAAGGCAGGUCUCUGGGCUGUUACUGACGCUGAGGAGCGAAAGCAUGGGGAGCGAACAGGAUUAGAUACCCUGGUAGCUACGAG
rnacentral:rRNA from 1 species